rnacentral:miRNA from 1 species
CUUUUAGUUUAAUUAUGUCUCAUGCAAUAUUUGGGACAUAUUUGUACUAGAA